UCGAGAAUUUUUCUCAAUGGGGGAAACCCUGAAGGAGCGACGCCGCGUGGAGGAUGAAGGUCUUCGGAUUGUAAACUCCUGUCAUUGGUGAACAAGGCCCACGCAGUAACUGGUGUUGGGUUUGAUAGUAGCCGAAGAGGAAGAGACGGCUAACUCUGUGCCAGCAGCCGCGGUAAUACAGAGGUCUCAAGCGUUGUUCGGAUUCAUUGGGCGUAAAGGGUGCGUAGGCGGCAGGGUAAGUCUGGUGUGAAAUCCCGGGGCUCAACCCCGGAACUGCACUGGAUACUGCUUUGCUAGAGUACUGGAGAGGGAACUGGAAUUUACGGUGUAGCAGUGAAAUGCGUAGAUAUCGUAAGGAAGACCAGUGGCGAAGGCGAGUUCCUGGACAGUUACUGACGCUGAGGCACGAAGGCCAGGGGAGCAAACGGG
rnacentral:rRNA from 1 species